rnacentral:lncRNA from 1 species
AUGACCGACGGCCCCCCGCAGACACCCCGGCGGCCAGCGGCGGCGUCUCGGGCUGGGGACCGGGCCCCGGACACCCAUUCCCUCCCAGCCCGCUCCGUCCUGUCCUCCUCCGCGUCCGUCUCCUGCAGUUCCCCUAAAGAUGCUCCCAGCCCUCUGCCCCCAGCGAGGGAAACGAGCUAUCUGUGGGCACACGGCCUGGGGGUUGGGAUUGUAAAGAUCGGGGAGCAGAACGUGCAUCCCUCCCCGCCCGACCCGGGCGCCGGCUCCUCGGGCGGACGCCGGGACGGACCCACGGGGAGCUGGGGGACCGCCUCGCCCGCUGCCCGCAGUGCCCACGCGCGGCCCGCCGGGGAGCCGCGGCGCCGGCGCCCGCGUUUCCUCUCCCCGAAUCACCCUCCCGGAGGGCGCCGCCGCGUCCCCCGAGCCCCGCGCACAGCGCCAGGAGCCCAGAGCGGGCGCCGCGCGCGGGAUGGAGACGGAUUCCUCCUCCCGCCGUUCGGCGGGCCCGGGACGCGCGACCCCGAGCCCCGGCACCCAGGAGGGCCGGCACCGUCCCCGCGGCGCCCCCACCUCUCCCGGGCCCCCGGAAAGGGGCAGAGAGGACCACAGCGGGGCGGGGAAGCGGGGAGCCGGCCUGGAGCAGCGGGACACGACCCUGGGGCGGGAAUGGGGUCCGGCAGUGAAGGGGCGGAGAGGAGAGAGGGAGCUGCAGAAGCUCCCAAGGCCGGCCACCCUCCCCCUCGCUGGGUCCGUCCCGCCGCCGCUUCCUGCCCGGGGUCGGCUUCCCAGCUGCAGCCGGAGGAAAAAUCUGAGCCGCCCCUGCAGUUCCACAGGGACCCGUCGCUCGGCCCGGGUCCCCCUCCCGGGCCCGCCAUGCUGCAGCCCCGCACGCCUCCUCACCCGGACGCCGCACGCCAGGAGCUCGCUUGCCGCGGGACCCGUCCCACUACAGCCCCAGCCGCCGGGCCGCCGCGCCGCCUCCUCCCUCCGCUCGGUUUCAAAUUGAAAUUCCCCGGCUGGGGCCGUCAGAUGACUCGGCGCGCCGGCCCCGCCCCCUCGCGACGGAAGCCCCUCCCGCGCCCCGCCGGUCACGCCCCCGGCGCGGAAACCCCCGCGGGCCGCGCCCCGCCCCCGCGUCCAGGCCACGCCCACAGACCCAGGCCACGCCCACACGCCGGCGGGACAGCUCUUCCCGCGGGAUUGGCUGCGCGCCGUCGUCGGUACCCAGGCUGGAGGGUCGGUCCCGCCCUCUGA